GGGCGGUGAUUGGCGCUAUAUUAUGUGUGUACAAUAUUGCACCAGUCCCGGCCUAU
rnacentral:pre_miRNA from 1 species